rnacentral:rRNA from 1 species
GCCUUGGCAGUCAGAGGCGAUGAAGGACGUUGUAGCCUGCGAAAAGCUUCGGGGAGUCGGCAAACAGACUUUGAUCCGGAGGUGUCCGAAUGGGGAAACCCACUCAACGCAAGUUGGGUAUCCGUAACUGAAUACAUAGGUUGCGGAGGCGAACUCAGGGAACUGAAACAUCUAAGUACCUGAAGGAACAGAAAUCAAUUGAGAUUCCCCCAGUAGCGGCGAGCGACCGGGGAGGAGCCUGCACGUGAUAGCAGUGAGGUUAGUGGAACGGUCUGGAAAGUCCGGCGAUAGAGGGUGAUAGCCCCGUACACGAAAACCUUGCAGUGGUACUGAGCGUGCGACAAGUAGGUCGGGACACGAGAUAUCCUGACUGAAGAUGGGGGGACCAUCCUCCAAGGCU